UCGGGAAAAACAUCAAAUUAAGUAAUUUAGUUGAAGCGUAUCGACAAAGUGGAAAUGUCCGGAUCAAACGUCAAACUACAGCAAGGUGGUUCACAGGAGGACAAGAUCAUGCUGCUCUUCUAAUCAUACUUCUGCUGCUGCUAAUUGCAGUUUAUGCUGUGGUGCGUCUGCAAAGAGCAGAACAACUUCUUCAACAUUCGAAGCAUCUGGCGGACUCUCCUCACACUGCCCAUGAGGAUGGUGCCUGGUCGGUCCCGAUGGAUGCGAGGCAGUGGCCCUGGUUGCUGUUGAAGGCUGCAUGUCUCUGUGUGGUGUGGCUCUUCUCCUGUCUUGUAUGGCUUCUGUUCCUGUGUUUUGGGUCGCUCCUGCCCUCUCUACUAGGGCUGUUAUGGCAGGGCAUGUGGCUGCUGCUUCAGUGCCUCUGGUUUAUUGUCUCAGCUGUUUGUAGUACACUGUUCAAUGCCGUCCUCUGUGUAUGUGUUAUCAUCAUGUUG